UGAGGAAUAUUGGUCAAUGGGCGAGAGCCUGAACCAGCCAAGUCGCGUGAGGGAAGACAGUCCUAUGGAUUGUAAACCUCUUUUGCCGGGGAGCAAAGAGACGGCACGUGUGCCGCGCCGAGAGUACCCGGAGAAAAGCAUCGGCUAACUCCGUGCC
rnacentral:rRNA from 1 species